rnacentral:rRNA from 1 species
AAAGACGGUAACAGCCCGGUAGUUGAAAUAGCUUUCCCUCCAGAGUGGAUCCUGAGUACGGCGGAACACGUGAAAUUCCGUCGGAAUCCGGGAGGACCAUCUCCCAAGGCUAAAUACUCCCUAGUGACCGAUAGUGAACCAGUACCGUGAGGGAAAGGUGAAAAGCACCCCGGAAGGGGAGUGAAACAGUUCCUGAAACCGUGUGCCUACAAGUAGUUAGAGCCCGUUAAUGGGUGAUAGCGUGCCUUUUGUAGAAUGAACCGGCGAGUUACGAUUUGUUGCAAGGUUAAGCGGAAAAAGCGGAGCCGUAGCGAAAGCGAGUCUGAAUAGGGCGCAUAAGUAACAGGUCGUAGACCCGAAACCAGGUGAUCUACCCAUGUCCAGGAUGAAGGUAAGGUAAUACUUACUGGAGGUCCGAACCCACGCACGUUGAAAAGUGCGGGGAUGAGGUGUGGGUAGCGGAGAAAUUCCAAUCGAACUUGGAGAUAGCUGGUUCUCUCCGAAAUAGCUUUAGGGCUAGCCUCGAGGUAAAGAGUCAUGGAGGUAGAGCACUGUUUGGACUAGGGGCCCUUCUCGGGUUACCGAAUUCAGAUAAACUCCGAAUGCCAUGUACUUAUACUCGGGAGUCAGACUGCGAGUGAUAAGAUCCGUAGUCGAAAGGGAAACAGCCCAGACCACCAGUUAAGGUCCCCAAAUAUAUGUUAAGUGGAAAAGGAUGUGGGGUUGCUUAGACAACCAGGAUGUUGGCUUAGAAGCAGCCACCAUUGAAAGAGUGCGUAAUAGCUCACUGGUCGAGUGACCCCGCGCCGAAAAUGUACCGGGGCUAAACAUAUUACCGAAACUGUGGAUGAACCUCUUUAGAGGUUCGUGGUAGGAGAGCGUUCUAAGGGCGGUGAAGUCAGACCGGAAGGACUGGUGGAGCGCUUAGAAGUGAGAAUGCCGGUAUGAGUAGCGAAAGAAGGGUGAGAAUCCCUUCCACCGAAUAUCUAAGGUUUCCUGAGGAAGGCUCGUCCGCUCAGGGUUAGUCGGGACCUAAGCCGAGGCCGAUAGGCGUAGGCGAUGGACAACAGGUAGAGAUUCCUGUACCAGUGCUAAUUGUUUAACCGAUGGGGUGACACAGAAGGAUAGGGAAUCGCACGAAUGGAAAUGUGCGUCCAAGCAGUGAGUGUGAGAAGUAGGCAAAUCCGCUUCUCGCGAAGCAUGAGCUGUGAUGGGGAAGGAAAUUAAGUACGGAAGUUCCUGAUUUCACGCUGUCAAGAAAAGCCUCUAGGAAGAGUAGUACUGCCCGUACCGCAAACCGACACAGGUAGAUGAGGAGAGAAUCCUAAGGUGAGCGAGAGAACUCUCGUUAAGGAACUCGGCAAAAUGACCCCGUAACUUCGGGAGAAGGGGUGCUCUAUUAGGGUGCAAGCCCGAGAGAGCCGCAGUGAAUAGGCCCAGGCGACUGUUUAGCAAAAACACAGGUCUCUGCAAAACCGUAAGGUGACGUAUAGGGGCUGACGCCUGCCCGGUGCUGGAAGGUUAAGAGGAGUGCUUAGCUUCGGCGAAGGUACGAAUUGAAGCCCCAGUAAACGGCGGCCGUAACUAUAACGGUCCUAAGGUAGCGAAAUUCCUUGUCGGGUAAGUUCCGACCCGCACGAAAGGCGCAACGAUCUGGGCACUGUCUCAACGAGAGACUCGGUGAAAUUAUAGUACCUGUGAAGAUGCAGGUUACCCGCGACAGGACGGAAAGACCCCGUGGAGCUUUACUGCAACCUGAUAUGGAAUGUUUGUACCGCUUGUACAGGAUAGGUAGGAGCCGAAGAGACGUGUGCGCUAGCAUACGAGGAGGCAAUGGUGGGAUACUACCCUGGCUGUAUGACCAUUCUAACCCGCCACGCUUAGCGCGUGGGGAGACAGUGUCAGGUGGGCAGUUUGACUGGGGCGGUCGCCUCCUAAAGAGUAACGGAGGCGCCCAAAGGUUCCCUCAGAAUGGAUGGAAAUCAUUCGCAGAGUGUAAAGGCACAAGGGAGCUUGACUGCGAGACUGACAAGUCGAGCAGGGACGAAAGUCGGGCUUAGUGAUCCGGUGGUUCCGCAUGGAAGGGCCAUCGCUCAACGGAUAAAAGCUACCCCGGGGAUAACAGGCUUAUCUCCCCCAAGAGUCCACAUCGACGGGGAGGUUUGGCACCUCGAUGUCGGCUCGUCGCAUCCUGGGGCUGUAGUCGGUCCCAAGGGUUGGGCUGUUCGCCCAUUAAAGCGGCACGCGAGCUGGGUUCAGAACGUCGUGAGACAGUUCGGUCCCUAUCCGUCGCGGGCGCAGGAAAUUUGAGAGGAGCUGUCCUUAGUACGAGAGGACCGGGAUGGACACACCGCUGGUGUACCAGUUGUUCCGCCAGGAGCAUCGCUGGGUAGCUAUGUGUGGCAGGGAUAAACGCUGAAAGCAUCUAAGCGUGAAGCCCCCCUCAAGAUGAGAUUUCCCAUUUCUUCGGAAAGUAAGAUCCCUGAAAGAUGAUCAGGUAGAUAGGUUUGGAGUGGAAGUGUAGCGAUACAUGGAGCGGACAAAUACUAAUCGAUCGAGGACUUAACCAAAA